rnacentral:rRNA from 1 species
UACAGAGGUCUCAAGCGUUGUUCGGAUUUACUGGGCGUAAAGGGCGUGUAGGCGGCCACCGCAAGUCGGUUGUGAAAUCUCCGGGCUUAACCCGGAAAGGUCAACCGAUACUGCGGGGCUAGAGUGCAGAAGGGGCAACUGGAAUUCUCGGUGUAGCGGUGAAAUGCGUAGAUAUCGAGAGGAACACCUGCGGCGAAGGCGGGUUGCUGGGCUGACACUGACGCUGAAACGCGAAAGCUAGGGGAGCGAACGGGG